rnacentral:rRNA from 1 species
CAAUAGCAUAUAUUAACGUUGUUGCAGUUGAAAAGCUCGUAGUUGAACUUUUGGUAGGAGCGACCUGGCUUUGGGCGCAUGCCCUUGUUUGCCGUGUGUCGUAUCUGGCCAUCCUUUUCCGUUUCGGCGGGAAUCUUUUACUGUGAGUAAACUGGAGUGCUCAAAACAAGACGUUUGUUUGGUACAUUAAAGCAUGGAAUAAUAAGAUAGGACCUGGUUACUAUUUUGUUGGUUUGCAUAGCUAGGUAAUGAUUAACAGGGACAGUUGGGGGUAUUCGUAUUUAAUUGUCAGAGGUGAAAUUCUUGGAUUUAUGAAAGACGAACGACUGCGAAAGCAUUUACCAAGGAUGUUUNCAUUA